GCCUCACCAGCCACGGGCCUCACUACACGUCUCUGAUACCUAUCUGAUAUAUCAGAGCCGACUCCUGAGAGCAGACGUAUCUGAAGCUGUCAGGGAGGAACCAUGGCUACCAUCUCUGAACCGGACCCUGGACUCUCUGAGGAACCUGGGGACGCGUCUUUGGACCGGAGGGAGCGCAGGAAGAGAGGAUCUGCUGGUAGAGCAAAGAAGAAGGCUAACUUCAGACGCCGUGGAAGCCGUCAGAGAGUAAC